AUGUUGAUUCCAGGUCCUGUUCUCUCACAGAGUUCAUGCUCGGCCUGUGCACAGGUGACACCAGUGACAUGCAGUGUAAUUCCGCAGUGUCGAAAGCUGAUGUCAACCGCUAAAUGGGGAAAGCAGGCUGUCUCGGCCGUGGGUGUGUGGUGUGUGUGUGUGUGUGUGUGUGUGUGUGUUGAGGGAUCGGGGAGAAUAAAUUCUAGUGCAAACAUCAGCUCAUUAAGGUCAGGCCAGUUCUGACAUGGGUGUUGUACUCAGGAGAAAUGCCCAUCCAUCAUAUAAAGAUAUUUGCAGGAUGAUAUAAAUCCUUACCACAGCCUCUCUCCAGAUGCCAAAGGGGUGGGAACACCCGUUCGUUACAAACUUCUUUCCAAUUGGUUCUUUUUGCUCAUCCACUUCCCUCAGAGCUCUGCUCCACGUGCCAAAUACCCACUGCCCCCAGCAACUCACCGAGAAAGGCUCCAAACCCGCUCCAGCCCAGCCGCCUGUGGUUGUGUUUCUCUUUGCCACUUCCCUCUCCCGCUCUUACCUUGCCACUUGAAACCUCUGCUUUUUAAUUGCAAAUGAAUUCAGGUUGCCUUGGUGCCUUUUAAUGUUCCCCACCCAUUUCCCAGAUUGAAACAAGACCGAGGCACCUACCGGUAGAGAGAUCAGAGUUCUCUAUUGCAUGCAGGGAAGGGAGAGGAGCUUUAGAUCCCAUGGCGGGGAAGGAGAGUUCAGUCAUCUGUGACAGAAGGUGAACUGAUGUCAAGAAUUUGCACAGAGAGCAUUCAACCAGAUUAAGGAAACAAUAUCUGCCAAAGCACUUCAGAAAGUAUAAAGCACAAUAAAAGUGUGCAGUAUUGGAAGAGCAGUUUCUGGAAUAAGAAGAAAAAAUGUGACUUUUAGAUGAAUCUUGAAGAACUGAUAGAAUCUGGACCUGCCGAAUGAGAGGUGAUGAGUGGGCGAAGGAGAAGCAGAUCCAGAUGGCAGCGCUGCCGCAGGAGCAAAAAUUCUGGGCAGGAAAGUGUUGGGUGUGUUCAAAGCACCCAGAUCCGUCUCUAAACUCAGGCUCCUUAAGUUGAUUUCCUGUCUGGGGCACUCUGUGACACAUUUCCAAAUGGAAAACUCAUUCCCAGUUGAGCUAGCCAAAUAUCUUGAAUAAAUACUACGGGAAUUAUUAAGACAUUUUCCAGAGGACCCCAGCAUUUCCUGUCUUGACAGUGGGGCUGCAUUUGACAUCAGCGAACUCAAGAGGUUAAAAAUAAAAUCUGUGGCCAAUUCAAACUUCCCUUCCAACAGUUUUUCAAUAAUCUAAGAUUGGGCUGAGAGAUGAGAGUUAAAACCAACUCCUUCAGAGCAUCUUAACAUCACACAUUAAGUCAUGAGUGUGGCCAAGCAGACCUGCCAUUGGCUAAUCACUGUCCUGGGAAUAGGAAGGAACAUGGAAAUAAAUUAUGACUUCAUUGGUCAAGCUAUGGGAUGGUAAGAGGGGGCUCUUAGAAAAGAAAAGUUCCAGUAACACACUAGAUGACUUUGGAUUAACCAGAGAGACAAGAGUUGAACAGCAUUAAGGAUCUUAAAGGGAAAAACAAACAAACAAAAAAUAGCUCACAGAUAUACAGGGUUUCCUGUGUGCCAGCUAUGACCCAGUAUAUCCUCCCUCGUUUAUUCCUGACAAUGACCCUGAAGAUGCAGGUGCUUCUCUCGACUGCACAGACGAAGAAACAGAAGGGGAGGAAGACAAGUUGUUUGCUCAAAGUCACCAAAUGGGUAAAAGAGUCAGCAUUCGUAUCAUCAAAUUAGUCUUCAGAGACAGGAAAGAACAUUGGGAAAACUCUGCCCCCAAACCCUAAAAACCGCAGAAGCCAGAGCACAGCUACCUCAUCACAUCCAGGAAGACUGGUUUUCUCCGAUCAAGGGUCUCUCACUCCCAGAAAUCAGUCAGCCUCCUGGGCAUGAGUUUUCUCAUCUCUACAUGAGCAUCAAACCUGCUUCCUAAAUGACAGAUUAUCUAGGGAUGCUGCCUGUGAGAAAGUAAUAGCAUAGUUAAUAUCUUAUUAUUAAUAUAAUUAAUAAUAAUAACAUAAUUUAAUAAUAAAUAUAAGUAAUAUAAGUAAUGCUGAUAUAUGGGAGUUCACACCAUGGUGCAGUGGACUAAGAAUCCAACUGCAGUGGCUUGGGUCACUGCAGACAUGCAGGUUCAAUCCCCAGCCCAGAGCAGUGGGUUAAAGGAUCCAGUGCUGCCACAGCUGCAGUGUUGGUCAAAGCAGCAGCUCAAAUUCAAUUCCCGGCCCAGGAACUUCCCUAUGCCAUGGGUGCAACCAUAAAAUAAAAUUUUUUUGAAAACAUGUGUGUGUGUGUGUGUGUGUGUAUAUAUGCACACCCAUUUAUUAUAUAUACAUAUAUUUAUAUGUGUACACAUAUAAAUUAUAUGUAUACACAUAUAUAUUACACAUAUAUACACAUAUAUAUUCCAAUUAGGAGUAUCUGAAGUCAGACAAAGCAGUUUGAGUCAGCACUUCCAAUUAUCAUAUGUUUUAUCCAUGGACAAUUUAGGUCCCUCCCUAAUUAUCAGUUUUUUCACCUGUAAGAUGAAAAUGGAAAUUCUAGCUAUCUCACGGGCUUCUAGUGAAGAUCUAAUAGUAUCAUGCCUGCAAGGAUAAUAUCCUUUGCACAUAGUAAAUGCUCAAUAAAUAUUAAAUAAUAAAAAUGAUAAAGAAAUCAGAGCUACAACAUGUGUUAUACUGUGCUUAAUUACAACAAAGAUUGCAAUGCCUUUUCUGAUGAACCAGAGCACUAGAGCUUGAGUAAGAAAUUAAAUAAAUAUGCAAACGACAGAACUUUAACCUAAUAACGUGACCACUCCCAAAGUUUAGCCUAUUACUGGAAAUCACUAAUGGAGCACUGCCCAUUAUUCAUGAUCCGAGCAGUAAGGAAUCAUGCAUAAUGGAACAGAGUCCCUGCUAACAGCAGAUUCACGCACGAUAAUUUAAACUUGUUUGUAUGGAAAUAAAGGACGAAUCUUUGAAGUGAGCCUUAAUGAGAUUCUGCUUGAUCUUCAGUGUAUCCUGGGAGAAAGGGUUCAGUUUUUCCUCCAGCAUCCGGCUCUUGUUGGUGGCGUGUAGGAAAGAAAGGCAGGCUUAAAUUAUGAAUGGCCCUUCUUGUCUUUGCAAUAGCAGGUGAGGAGCAGGGGUG
rnacentral:lncRNA from 9 species